UACGUAGGAAGCGAGCGGUAAUCGGAAUUACUGGGCGUAAAGCGUGCGCAGGCGGUUUUGUAAGCCAGAUGUGAAAUCCCCGGGCUUAACCUGGGAAUGGCAUUUGGGACUGCAAGGCUUGAGUGCGGCAGAGGAGACUGGAAUUCCUGGUGUAGCAGUGAAAUGCGUAGAUAUCAGGAGGAACACCGAUGGCGAAGGCAGGUCUCUGGGCUGACACUGACGCUCAUGCACGAAAGCGUGGGGAGCAAACAGG
rnacentral:rRNA from 1 species